rnacentral:rRNA from 1 species
UACGGAGGGUGCGGGCGUGUCCGGAAUCACUGGGCGUAAAGGGCGCGUAGGCGGCCUGAUAAGUAGGGGGUGAAAUCUUGCGGCUUAACCGCAAGGCUGCCUUCUAAACUGUCAGGCUAGAGCACAGUAGAGGCAGGUGGAAUUCCCGGUGUAGCGGUGGAAUGCGUAGAGAUCGGGAAGAACAUCAGUGGCGAAGGCGGCCUGCUGGGCUGUUGCUGACGCUGAGGCGCGACAGCGUGGGGAGCAAACAGG